rnacentral:lncRNA from 1 species
CAGAUUUUUUUAAAUUAAGUGCCAAAAAAUAAUUGGUCAUGCAAAGCCCUUAAAAAUAUUGUGGCCUAAUUCUAAAGUUUUUUGCUACUAUGCUACAUCACACGCAACAUCAGUUAAGUGCUCAUUCUGUGACAGGUAGUACAUUACAUUUUAGCAAACUACACAAGACCCCUAUGUGAUAAUAUGCUUCAGGGUUGUAAGGUUGGGUGCAUUUACUAGUCUUGAAUUUUCUGGGAGUAUACAAACCCAAUAUUAGUCUAGAUGCCCACAAAUCUAUUUAGACGUCACAGUAGAAUGGAGAGUAAUCUUGACCACAGGAAGCUGUGUUGUGGCAUUUAUUUUGAAAUUAUUUUUUCUUGAUUUUUUUGCCUUUUGUUUUGUGA